AUGAACGAUGAAAGGAAGGUGCAUUGGAUUUCUUGGGAGAAGAUGUGCGCUUCAAAGAAGGAGGAGGGGCUUGGUUUUAGAAAUUCGGAGGGGUUCAACCUAGCGCUAUUAGCUAAGCAAGCAUGGAGGAUCCUCACUAAUCCCUCCUCUUUUUGCUCCAGGGUGUUGAAAGCAAGAUACUUCAAAGAUGAUACAAUCUUGAGCGCCACCUGCCCUUCCAAUUCGUCAUACACUUACAGAAGCAUUCUGCAUGGGAGGGAC
rnacentral:rRNA from 1 species